AGAGUUUGAUCCUGGCUCAGGAUGAACUUUAGCUACAGGCUUAACACAUGCAAGUCGAGGGGCAGCGCAGUGCAGCAAUGCAUGGGCGGCGACCGGCGCACCGGGGUGCGUAACGCGUAUCCAACCUUCCCGUUACUCUUGGAUAGCCUUCCGAAAGGGAGAUUAAUACAGGAUGGUAUUCAAAUUCCGCAUGUUAUUUGAAUUAAAGAUUUAUCGGUAACGGAUGGGGAUGCGUGACAUUAGAUAGUAGGCGGGGUAACGGCCCACCUAGUCUACGAUGUCUAGGGGUUCUGAGAGGAAGGUCCCCCACACUGGAACUGAGACACGGUCCAGACUCCUACGGGAGGCAGCAGUGAGGAAUAUUGGUCAAUGGUCGGAAGACUGAACCAGCCAAGUAGCGUGAAGGAUGAAGGUUCUAUGGAUUGUAAACUUCUUUUAUACGGGAAUAAAGCCCGCUACGUGUAGCGGUUUGUAUGUACCGUAUGAAUAAGCAUCGGCUAACUCCGUGCCAGCAGCCGCGGUAAUACGGAGGAUGCGAGCGUUAUCCGGAUUUAUUGGGUUUAAAGGGAGCGUAGACGGGGGAUUAAGUCAGUUGUGAAAGGCUGCGGCUCAACCGCAGCACUGCAGUUGAUACUGGUUUCCUUGAGUGCGGUUGAGGUGUAUGGAAUUCGUGGUGUAGCGGUGAAAUGCUUAGAUAUCACGAAGAACUCCGAUUGCGAAGGCAGUACACUAAGCCGUAACUGACGUUGAUGCUCGAAAGUGUGGGUAUCAAACAGGAUUAGAUACCCUGGUAGUCCACACGGUAAACGAUGAA
rnacentral:rRNA from 1 species